rnacentral:rRNA from 1 species
AGUGAACGCUGGCGGUAGGCCUAACACAUGCAAGUCGAACGGCAGCACAGUAAUAGCUUGCUCUUACGGGUGGCGAGUGGCGGACGGGUGAGGAAUACAUCGGAAUCUACUUUUUCGUGGGGGAUAACGUAGGGAAACUUACGCUAAUACCGCAUACGACCUACGGGUGAAAGCAGGGGAUCUUCGGACCUUGCGCGAUUGAAUGAGCCGAUGUCGGAUUAGCUAGUUGGCGGGGUAAAGGCCCACCAAGGCGACGAUCCGUAGCUGGUCUGAGAGGAUGAUCAGCCACACUGGAACUGAGACACGGUCCAGACUCCUACGGGAGGCAGCAGUGGGGAAUAUUGGACAAUGGGCGCAAGCCUGAUCCAGCCAUACCGCGUGGGUGAAGAAGGCCUUCGGGUUGUAAAGCCCUUUUGUUGGGAAAGAAAAGCAGCAGGUUAAUACCCCGCUGUUCUGACGGUACCCAAAGAAUAAGCACCGGCUAACUUCGUG